CCCGCAACGAGCGCAACCCCUAUUGUUAGUUGCCAUCAUUCAGUUGGGCACUCUAGCGAGACUGCCGGUAAUAAACCGGAGGAAGGUGGGGAUGACGUCAAAUCAUCAUGCCCCUUAUGACCUGGGCUACACACGUGCUACAAUGGUUGGUACAACGAGUUGCGAGUCGGUGACGGCGAGCUAAUCUCUUAAAGCCAAUCUCAGUUCGGAUUGUAGGCUGCAACUCGCCUACAUGAAGUCGGAAUCGCUAGUAAUCGCGGAUCAGCACGCCGCGGUGAAUACGUUCCCGGGCCUU
rnacentral:rRNA from 1 species